CUACAGGCUUAACACAUGCAAGUCGAGGGCAGCAGUGGAGGUUGCUGACAACUUCUGAGUGGCCGACCGGCGCGACGGGUGAGUAACCGCGUAUACCCUAACCUUACCCCCGUAGUACGGUCCACGCCCGGCGAAAGUCGGAUUAAUACCCUAUGUUCUUCAAUGAUGACAUCAGGAUUGAAGCAAAGAUUCAUCGCUAGUGGAUGGGGAUGCGUCUGAUUAGCUUGAUGGCGGGGUAACGGCCCACCAUGGCGACGAUCAGUAGGGGUUCUGAGAGGAAGGUCCCCCACAUUGGAACUGAGACACGGUCCAAACUCCUACGGGAGGCAGCAGUGAGGAAUAUUGGUCAAUGGAGGCAACUCUGAACCAGCCAAGUAGCGUGCAGGAAGGACGGCCCUAUGGGUUGUAAACUGCUUUUAUGAGGGGAUAAACUGCGCCACGCGUGGUGUAUUGCAUGUACCUCAUGAAUAAGGACCGGCUAAUUCCGUGCCAGCAGCCGC
rnacentral:rRNA from 1 species